UUCUGACAGACGUGUACUAUGGUGCAUUGAGUUGGUUGGAACCUCUCCAGCGCGCUGACAAUAAACAAUGAUUCAUUUAAGAUUGACUUCGAGUGUCCCUGUGUAAGAAUAUUUCCACAACAUUUGGCGUCACGAACCGAAUUAUUGAUUCUGCCUGCGGAGCUUUCCAGUUGAGGUCUGCGAGGAAAACCGGUGGAGCAUUUUAUGAAGCAUGAGGGAAAUUCAUGUCCGACCAAUAGAGGAUGAGGACCUGUCCAGAUCCUUACUGUGAGCUGCCCAGGAGGAGACACAUCAUCCAUGAACAAUUGAGGGACGGCAACUGAUUUCAGAUUCUGUAUAUCUCCCUUUGAAGGGGCUUCCUGAGGCAGGUGCCUUGGGAGAGCAGUAAAAAGUGCCGGAUCCAGCUGUUAAGGGACCUCAAAAAUUAAGCAGUGUUGUUGUUUUUUUGGACGUGUGUCCAAAGGGGGAAUUACCAGUCCCCUGGGGCCCUUUGAUUGGGUUUGCUGGAUGGUCGGGAUUUCUCCCUGAGGAUUAGCCCUCUAACUCCCUGACCUGUAACUCUGCAGUGAGAUCGCCAAGAUGAUAGGGGAGUAUAAGCCAAUUUGGGAGGGAAAUGGUUUCAACUGUGUGUUGUUAUUCUCUAAGACAUUUGUCUUAGAAGUCUGGAUUUCCUGAGUUACAAAUGCCCUAAACCAAACUGUUGUUCUGGUCUGUACUCUAUCGAGGUAAUGGCGGAGAUGGUGUCUAGAUGCAUGGAAGAUAAUUCGGCCGAUGAACAGUGUGAUCCUCAACACCCCCUCUAACCGGCUGAAAUUGGUGAAAAUGGCGUUCAGUAUGGUCCUUCACCACUUCUACCGUGAGACCUGAGUCCAAGCCAGCAACCUGUACACAUCAGUCGACGCUAUCAACUGCCUUUUCUCUCAUGUUUUUUCUCUCAGGAGCGACAUGGGGUGAUGUGGGGUGAGCAUGGAGAGAGAUCCAGUCCAAACUUCUCUCAUGCUGCUGGUGUACUGGUAGGAUAAUGGACAAAGGCCUAAUGGACUGUAAAGGACAGUGGCGGCUCAGGUGAGAGACAUUAUCAAGGGCCAUCCACUUUGAACAUGUGCCAUUAAAAGGACAAACUGAAACACUAUCUGAAGAAGAACAUGAAGAAACGGCAGGAAAGGAAGAAUGAGUGCCCGUAAUUGAUUUAGGCUUGUCGAAAAUUGUUUAUUUGGGGUAUUGGGUUGAUUGUGGAGGUUUGCACACUGCAAAAUGUUGUAAUUUAGACUAACAAUGCAUUGAAAUACCAAUCUGUCAUUACCACAAGUGAUGAGAAAAGUGAGGGUCUUAAAUUAAAGUGACAGAUCCAACGUGAAGCACUAAAUUUGGGUUGGAUAAUGUAUCAAUAAUUUUGAUUAUGAUUUGGAAAGGCAAAACUUCUAGAGACAGAGCUGUGCCCUAAAAAUGAGGAGAGACACUAGAUUGUUACAAGGUUAGCCCAAGCUACAAUCUCAUUCUUAGCAAGGUUGGUGUGAAACUGUUAUAACGUGAUCUCUCUCUCUUCCCUGUGAAAUGUUAUUAACAUACUGUAAGGCGAUGUGCCUCUCUGGCUGAUAAGAUUUCAGCAGCUAUCUUGCUUUCUACUCCUCCAGAGGAUGGUGAAGAGGAUGGUGAAACAGUUAGAUGCCAACUCUGGAUGAGCCCCCAUUUCCUCCGGGUUAUUUUCCUUUUAGCAAGUUGAGAGUAAGGUCAUCUAAACCCUUAACCUGUUUACAUUAUGUUGAACACUGAGCUGAUGAGCAAGUUAAACAACUGGGUUUUAUGUUUUGACUAGGUGGAUGUCCCAGGGACAGUUAGUGAAAACAUAGGUCAAUGCAACCCAAGUGUGGAAAGAAAUAUGGAAACAAUGGUUAACAUCAAGAUAUUUAUUCACCUCUGAAUCUACAGAUCCGUUGUGUAUUUUUGAUACUCACUCCCAUUAAUAAAGUAUAACCUUUAUUAUGAUUAUAGUAAUACCAUACUAAGUGGAUUGUACAACCCAGAAUAAAGGGUUUGAAAUGA